UACGAAGGGGGCUAGCGUUGCUCGGAAUCACUGGGCGUAAAGGGUGCGUAGGCGGGUUUUUAAGUCAGGGGUGAAAUCCUGGAGCUCAACUCCAGAACUGCCUUUGAUACUGAAGAUCUUGAGUCCGGGAGAGGUGAGUGGAACUGCGAGUGUAGAGGUGAAAUUCGUAGAUAUUCGCAAGAACACCAGUGGCGAAGGCGGCUCACUGGCCCGGUACUGACGCUGAGGCACGAAAGCCAGGGGAGCGAACGGGG
rnacentral:rRNA from 1 species